rnacentral:rRNA from 1 species
GCCAGAGGGUGCAAACGUUGUUCGGAAUUACUGGGCGUAAAGCGUGUGUAGGCGGCUGCGUAAGUCGGAUGUGAAAGCCCCGGGCUCAACCCGGGAAGUGCACCCGAUACUGCGUAGCUUGAGUAUCGGAGAGGUUGGUGGAAUUCUCGGUGUAGAGGUGAAAUUCGUAGAUAUCGAGAAGAACACCGGUGGCGAAGGCGGCCAUCUGGACGGUGACUGACGCUGAGACGCGAAAGCGUGGGGAGCAAACAGG